rnacentral:pre_miRNA from 1 species
GACUUCAACUGAAAAAGUUAUCAACAGCAAAGUUGUAUAACUUAUCAAGAUCUAAAACUUUUAUUUUGGUCAUUUCUUCAUCUGAUAAAGUGAUAGUAACAUUGUUCAUAAAAUUGACAUAUCUCUUAUCUGAUUUUAAAAACUAUAACACAUAUAUGUAAAAUUUAUGAACAAUGUUACUGACAUUUUAUCAGAUAAAGAAAUAAACAAAAUAAAAGUUUUAGAUCUUGAUGAGUUAUUCAACUUUGUUGUUGAUAACUUUUUCAGUUGAAAUC